rnacentral:piRNA from 1 species
UGUGGACCCUCAGCAUAGCACAGCUGCUC